rnacentral:rRNA from 1 species
CAUUACAGAGUUCAUGCCCUUCGGGGUAGAUCUCCCACCCGUGUCAUCACACCUUUGUUGCUUUGGCGGGCCCGCCUCGGCCACCGGCUCCGGCUGGUGAGCGCCCGCCAGAGGACCCCAAACUCUGAAAUUUAGUGUCGUCUGAGUACUAUAUAAUAGUUAAAACUUUCAACAACGGAUCUCUUGGUUCUGGCAUCGAUGAAGAACGCAGCGAAAUGCGAUAAGUAAUGUGAAUUGCAGAAUUCAGUGAAUCAUCGAAUCUUUGAACGCACAUUGCGCCCCUUGGUAUUCCGGGGGGCAUGCCUGUUCGAGCGUCAUUACAACCCUCAAGCUCUGCUUGGUAUUGGGCGUCCCCGGCGACGGGGUGCCCUAAAAUCAGUGGCGGUGCCGUCUGGCUCUAAGCGUAGUAAAUCUCUCGCUCUGGAUGCCCGGUGGAUGCUCGCCAGAACCCCCCAUUUUUUACAGGUUGACCU